UACGUAGGGUGCAAGCGUUGUCCGGAAUUAUUGGGCGUAAAGAGCUCGUAGGCGGCUUGUCACGUCGGGUGUGAAAGCCCGGGGCUUAACCCCGGGUCUGCAUUCGAUACGGGCAGGCGUAGAGUGUGGUAGGGGAGAUCGAAUUCCUGGUGUAGCGGUGAAAUGCGCAGAUAUCAGGAGGAACACCGGUGGCGAAGGCGGAUCUCUGGGCCAUUACUGACGCUGAGGAGCGAAAGCGUGGGGAGCGAACAGG
rnacentral:rRNA from 1 species